rnacentral:rRNA from 1 species
GAUGAACGUUGGCGGCGUGCCUAACACAUGCAAGUCGAACGCUGGUAGCAAUAUCAGAGUGGCGCACGGGUGAGUAACACGUAGCUUACCUACCUCAAAGCGCGGGAUAACGUUCCGAAAGGAAUGCUAAUACCGCAUAAGCUCGCGGUCUGUAGAGGGCUGAGAGAGAAGGGGCAACUCACUUUGAGAUGGGGCUGCGGCCCAUCAGCUGGUUGGGAGGUAACGGCUUACCAAGGCAACGACGGUAGGGGACCUGAGAGGGU